rnacentral:rRNA from 1 species
GCUGGCGGCAGGCCUAACACAUGCAAGUCGAGCGGUAGAGAGAAGCUUGCUUCUCUUGAGAGCGGCGGACGGGUGAGUAAAGCCUAGGAAUCUGCCUGGUAGUGGGGGAUAACGUUCGGAAACGGACGCUAAUACCGCAUACGUCCUACGGGAGAAAGCAGGGGACCUUCGGGCCUUGCGCUAUCAGAUGAGCCUAGGUCGGAUUAGCUAGUUGGUGAGGUAAUGGCUCACCAAGGCGACGAUCCGUAACUGGUCUGAGAGGAUGAUCAGUCACACUGGAACUGAGACACGGUCCAGACUCCUACGGGAGGCAGCAGUGGGGAAUAUUGGACAAUGGGCGAAAGCCUGAUCCAGCCAUGCCGCGUGUGUGAAGAAGGUCUUCGGAUUGUAAAGCACUUUAAGUUGGGAGGAAGGGCAUUAACCUAAUACGUUAGUGUUUUGACGUUACCGACAGAAUAAACACCGGCUAACUCUGUGCCAGCAGCCGCGGUAAUACAGAGGGUGCAAGCGUUAAUCGGAAUUACUGNNCGUAAGCGCGCGUAGGUGGUUUGUUAAGUUGGAUGUGAAAUCCCCGGGCUCCACCUGGGAACUGCAUUCAAACUGACUGACUANAGUAUGGUAGAGGGUGGUGGAAUUUCCUGUGUAGCGGUGAAAUGCGUAGAUUUAGGAAAGAACACCAGUGGCGAAAGCGACCACUGGGACUAAUACUGACACUGAUGUGCGAAAGCUUGGGGAGCAGCAGGAUUAGAUACCUUGNAGUCCACGCCGUAAACGAUGUCAACUAGUCGUUGGGAGCCUUGAGCUUCUUAGUGGCUCAGCUAACG